rnacentral:tRNA from 2 species
ACUAGCCAAAUGGAAAAGGCACUUGAUUUAGGUUCAAGAAUAUGUGGGUUCAAAUCCCAUGUGUGA